rnacentral:rRNA from 1 species
CCUACGGGUGGCAGCAGUGGGGAAUAUUGCACAAUGGAGGAAACUCUGACGCAGCGACGCCGCGUGAAGGAAGAAGGUUUUCGGUAUGUAAACUUUUAUCAGUAGGGAAGAAAAAGAAGGUUCCCGAAGAAGAAGCCUCGGCCUACUACGGGCCAGCAGCCCCGGUUAUAUGUAAGGGGCAAGCGUUAUCCGGAUUUACUGGGCGUAAAGGGGGCGUAGGCGGGGUAGUAAGUUAGGAGUGAAAGCCCGGGGUUCAACUCCGGGACUGCAGUUGAAACUGGGUGUCUUGAUUGCUGGAGAGGAAAGUGGAAUUCCUAGUGUAGCGGUGAAAUGCGUAGAUAUUAGGAGGAACACCAGUGGCGAAGGCGGCUUACUGGACUGUAAAUGACGUUGAGGCACGAAAGCGUGGGGAGCGAACAGGAUUAGAUACCCGGGUAGUC